rnacentral:rRNA from 1 species
UACGUAGGGUGCGAGCGUUAAUCGGAAUUACUGGGCGUAAAGCGUGCGCAGGCGGUCUUGCAAGACAGAUGUGAAAGCCCCGGGCUUAACCUGGGAACUGCAUUUGUGACUGCAAGGCUGGAGUGCGGCAGAGGGGGAUGGAAUUCCGCGUGUAGCAGUGAAAUGCGUAGAUAUGCGGAGGAACACCGAUGGCGAAGGCAAUCCCCUGGGCCUGCACUGACGCUGAGGAACGAAAGCGUGGGGAGCGAACAGG